ensembl:lncRNA
GCCCAGAGUCAGUAGAAGGAGGGAAAUAAUAAAAAUAAGAGCAGAAAUAAACGAUAUUGAAACAAAAAAGACAAUAGAAAGGAUCAAUGAAACAUAUAUUUACCAUUGAUAUGGUUUCAGAUUCCACAUUGUAGCUAACUUUAAAGAAAUUAGCACUUGUUGAUUUUUGGUAUAGUAACAAAGAAGAAUUUCCGCAAUUAUCUGAAAAAGCAUUUAAGAUACUCCUCUGUUUUCCAAUUAUAUAUCUUAGUGAGGCAAGAUUUUCUUACAUACUUCAACCAAAAUGACAAAUUGCAACAGAUUAAAGACAAAAGCAGAGAUGAGAACCCAGCUGCCUUUUAUUAGGUCACACAUUAAAGAGAUUAGCAAAAUUAUAAAACAAUGCUACUCUUAUUUUUUGUUUUGGAAAAUAUAGUUGUCUUUUCAGUUAUACAUUAUUUAUGUUUACAUGUAAUAUGUUCAUCAUGUUAUUUUUGAAUGAAUGAAUAAAUAUUUUUACAAUUUCCUAGUUUUAAUUUCUAGUACAAUAAAGAUUGGCAGCUAUAACUCACAUAAUCAAAAGCCCUUCGGGUCCUCAAUAACGUUCAGAGUGUUACAGAAUCCUGAGACCGAAGUGUGAGAAGCGUUACGGCAGAAUUGAAGCUCUGUGCGGGCAGGGGGGACGUCUGUCUUGAUCACGGCUGUAUUUCACGUGGGAGAUAUUUGAAACAUGGCUGGCAAUAUUUGUUGAAAAAGUGAUUGACUGAAUGACUGUCUGAAUGAAUGAAUAACAUUCAAAAUGGGCCUUCCAUGGCAUUCUAGACAGAGGAAACAGUCUGAUAAAAAGACCAGAAUCAAGAAAGUAAGGAUUUUAGGAGAAUAGUGAGAAAUUAAGUCUGUAGAGCAGACUAGCACAGUGGAUAAGAAUUUAGACUUUGGACACAAACAAUCCUGAGUUCAAAUCCUGUUUCCAACCUUUACUAGCUAAGGUAAAUCAACCAUUCUGAACAUCAGCUUAUUAACUGUGUAUACUAGUGCAAGUUACUACUUCUCUAUGCCUCUAUUUCUUUAUCUGUAAAAUGAAGCUACCUCAAACGUUUGUGUUGACAGUAGUAAAGUGCCUAGAGUUGCAUUGCCCAACAUGGCAGCCACUAACCACAUGAGCACUUGGUAAGUGGCUAGUGCAACUGAGAAACUAAAUUUUUAAUUUUAUUUAAUUUUAAUUGAUUGAAAGUGAAGUUAAAAGUUUAAAAUUAAAUCAGUUUUGUCAAUAGGGAUGAGCAUAGAAAAAAAUGAUUAUUUGGUACUUGAUUCAGGUAUUGGAAAUCUUUUAAGCAUGUUUGGAACAACUUGGGUAUGUGAAUCUACUUUUUUCACUGUACUUUUUACAAUAUUUAAAUAUAGAUCAAGUAUUUCCAAUAAAAAUUUAGUGUCCAAAUUGAGACGUGCUGUAGGUGUAAAAUACACAAUGGAUUUCAAAGAUUUAAUACACACUAAAAAAGAAUAUGAUAUAUAUCAUUAAAAAGUUUUUAUAUUGAUUAAAUGCUCAUUGAUAAAAUACUUUAUUAAAAUCAAUUUCACCUAGUUUUUACUUUUUUAGUGUGGCAAUUAGAAAAUUAAAAUGACAAAUAUGGCUCAUAUUUCUAUUGGACGGUGGCUUAGCACAUUGUAACUGCUGUACAAAGUGUUAGUGACCCCUGUUUUAUUAUUAUUUAUACUAUAGAGAUAACAUUUAUCUUACAAAGUCAUAUAAGGACAAAAUGAGAGAUUAUAUUAAGCUCUUAGCACAGUGUGGGGCACAUAAUAAGGGCUCAGUAAAUGGUACCUAUCAUCAGUAAGUAGAGAGGGCAUCGUGUGUUCUGGGAUGAUAGAACUGCAAAGCUAGGUGGGGGCUGCAUGUUGUAUAAAGUUCUGAAAAUCUAGCUGACAUGUUGGAGCUUAAUUCUCUAUGCAACCGAGAGGCACUGAAGCGCAUGAUCCGAGGGUUCUGGGAUGGCCCCUUUCUGUUGCACUCCUCUCCUUUGUUCUCUAAAGCUGCAUAAAAAAAAUCACUGCAAAACUUAGCGGGUUAAGAUGGCAAUGACCAUUUAUGUCUUUCAUGGUUUCUGUGGGUUGUGAAUCCGGCAGUAGUUUAGCCGAGUGGUUCUGGUUAGGGGUCCCUCGUGAGGUCAUAGUCAGAUGUUAGGUGUGACUACAGUCAUCUGAAGGCUUCACUUGGUCUGGAGGACAGACUUCCAAGGUGGUUCGCUCACAGAGCUGGUAAGUUGGUUUUGGCUGCUGUCAGAAGUCCUUAGGCCCUCUCCACGUGGGAAGCUUCCUCACAAGAUGGUGGCUGGGUUCUGAGAGACUGAA